CUCUCGUUAUCUUCUCUGAUUAUUAGGGUUCCACAAAUCUGAUUUCAGAGAACUUAUCAAGUCUCAAAUCAUUAAUCUCUUCGAGAUCAAGGUCGAACGAUUUACUGAUUUCAGAGAUCUCAAAUCCCAAAUCAAGCCCUAAUCUCAAAUCCGAGAACUGACAUAGCAGCGCUGCUCUCCACCAUGAUUCGGUCUAUCAAUGGAAGUAAACUCGUUCCACCAUGAUUUGAUCUCAGUUGUUGCAUUAUAUUCUUGGAUGUAUAACCGUCUUCUUCGAUUUAUACUUAUUUUCUUUCUUCCAUCUCACUGUGAACCAUUUUCUUCUUUAGUCUUUUACCGUAAAUUCUCAUUGCUUUUGUCUUUUUUUUUUCUGUGCAGGUGGAGAUUAAUAGGUUGAGUGAAGAUCUAAUUCGGUUGAAGGAUCAAGUGUGGAUAAGUAUUGGGUUUUGUUUGAGAUUCGGAGUACAAAUGUAGGUGUUAAUUCAGUUGCAGAAAGGGGUUUGUUGAUUUGAUUGUUGUUGUUAAAAUUUUGCUUGAAGAAAUGAAAUGGAACUUGGGUAUGAUUCAGAUUUGAUAAUAUUGGGUUUCGAAUAGUUGUGGUUACUGUGAAUCUGAAUUUUAGAUUAAGAGAACAUGGAGGUUUAAAUAAAAACUGUUGACGUCAGAAGAUAUUGAUACUAAUUGUAAUUUUGUUGUUGUUUAACUGUUUCUACUAUUCCAGGUUUCCAUCACUAAACCUUGAAAUUGUAAGAGCUCUGGCCAGGGGUGGGAAGUUAUUCAGUCUAGUCUUUGUAAUUUUGUACAGCGAUCUGCCUUUAUUUUGUUUCUAAAUCUUACAACUUUAGAACAUAGACAGUACUAAGUGUUAUGCUCCACUUGAUCAUGUCUUACAAGAGCUUUUUCUUUCUUUUCGUUGCGUUCUUACAGAAGGAGUCCCAUCUGUUGGAAUGUCUCCAUUUGCUUCUGGAUGAACUACAUGCAAAGGAAAUGUAACAAACUCCAAAUAAAAUUAUGUAUUAUCCGGUGUGUCUCUGCCAUCCCUUCGUGUUUUACAGGAACUUUUGUUCCUGAUAACAGAUAUCAGCUGCUGAUACAUCUCAGGUUGCCAAGUCAAUUGACUCUGGUUUUUUCCCUGUUUUGCAUGGAGAUGUGGUGUAUGAUGAAGACUUACAGGAUAUGUUUCUCUAAGUAAAGUUUCUUAUGAUAUUUUGAAAUUCAGUGUCUAGUGGUUUACUAACACUGAAAUCACUAAAUUUAUCAGGACUGCACUAUACUUAGUGGUGCUGAGGCUCUGAAGCCUGAAUAUGUUGUUUUCUUCGUAUCCUUUUGACCUUUGAGUUAUUUCCUUUCUAUGUCUUAUAUUUUAUACACAUGUGAUGUCAAACUAUUGAGAGAUGUUUGAAUUUAGUGUUUGCACAGUAUUCCUAUCUUUGUUGCCACAUGUUCGUAGCAUAUGUUCAACUUCAAAAAUAGUAUGUAUCUAUGUUUUAUGAUUUUAUCCAAGUCUUCUACAUGAUUUUCCUAAAGACUGCACACAAUUAUGUGCCUGUGGUUGAGAGUACAAAGAAGAAUGAAAGAUGAUGAUGUUGAUGGGAUUAAAAUGCUAGUAUCUGAAUUGAGGGGUUGAAGAUUAAUCGCAACGGAUUUUGUGGAAUGAGGACCAAGAAGUGUUCAUUUUCUUGUACGUAGUUCGAUGGAUACAUCGACUUGGAUGCAUACGAUACACUGGCAAUGAAGCUUAAAGGAGAAGGGAGAUGUUAUAUAUCUGCCAUAUCAAUGAGAAUUGGGUAAACCAUCCAGGGCAACCAUAAAUCAAUCAUGUAACGGAUAUAAGCGACAAUCAUGUAUUUCAGAAAAUGCUUUCAAUAUCUUAGCGUUGAUGACAACCAGAUGCUCUGGAAGCAGCAAAAGAUGCAGGAGGACAUGUUGAUUGUUUUCUAUCUUCAAAUGUUUCUGCAAAACAGACGCAGAGAUUUGCAUACAAUGAUUGUUGGGUAAGUUGCUAAGUUUGCGACUUAUGCAUUUGGCCCAACUAUUGUGGUCACUCCUCUUGGUGCACUCAGCAUUAUUAUCAACCACGAAACAAGUUCAUUCCCCGAGUUGUGUGUACUCUUUCGGUUUUUGAGCUAAGUUUCAUCUUCUCUUGCAGUGCUGCACUUGCAAAACAUAGAAGUCUCUCAAGGAAAAGAAGUCCUUUUUAUUUGUAGUUUUAUCUUUUUGUUCAGCAAUUUUUGUCUUUUUGAUUUUGUUGUAAAGUUCAUUGCUUAGGUAGUUUUGGUUUUAAAACAGGGGUAACUUAAUUUUGUUGGAUUAAUUUGAUUUUCAAAUGAAUAGGGGUAACCUGAUUUUGUUACAAGAAAUUAGAA